GUGCUCGCUUCGGCAGCACGUAUACUGAAAUUGGAAGGAUACACAGAAGACUAGCAUGGCCACUGAGCAAGGAUGAUACACAAAUUAGUGAAGCAUUCCAUAUUUUG